UGCCUGAUGGUGUAAUGGUAGCACAGGUGACUUUGACUCACCUAGUCAUGGUUCGAAUCCAUGUCGGGCAGCCA
rnacentral:tRNA from 2 species